AACAAACGCUGGCGGCGUGCCUAAUACAUGCAAGUCGAACGGGGAAAGCUUUCGGGUGAGUACUAGUGGCGCACGGGUGAGUAACGCGUGGAUAAUCUGCCUUGAAGAGGGGGAUAACCAGUCGAAAGAUUGGCUAAUACCGCAUAAGACCACAGGAACUGAGGUUCUAGAGGUCAAAGGUUUUUCGCUUCAAGAUGAGUCCGCGUAAGAUUAGCUAGUUGGUGAGGUAACGGCUCACCAAGGCGACGAUCUUUAACUGGUCUGAGAGGAGGAUCAGUCACACUGGAACUGAGACACGGUCCAGACUCCUACGGGAGGCAGCAGUAGGGAAUAUUGCACAAUGGAGGAAACUCUGAUGCAGCGACGCCGCGUGAGUGAUGAAGGCCUUCGGGUCGUAAAGCUCUGUCGCAGGGGAAUAACACAAUGAAGGUACCCUGUAAGAAAGGAUCGGCUAACUUCGUGCCAGCCGCCGCAGUAAAAC
rnacentral:rRNA from 1 species